AGUGGCGAACGGGUGAGUAACGCGUAGACAACCUACCUUCUAGUUGGGGACAACACCGCGAAAGUGGUGCUAAUACCGAAUGUGUUAUCUUGGGUGCAUAUCUAAGAUAAGAAAGGUGGCCUCUAUUUAUAAGCUACCACUAGAAGACGGGUCUGCGUCUGAUUAGCUAGUUGGCGGGGUAAAAGCCCACCAAGGCGACGAUCAGUAGCCGGUCUGAGAGGAUGAACGGCCACACUGGGACUGAGACACGGCCCAGACUCCUACGGGAGGCAGCAGUGGGGAAUCUUCCGCAAUGGACGAAAGUCUGACGGAGCAACGCCGCGUGAGUGAAGAAGGCCUUCGGGUUGUAAAGCUCUGUUAUUGGGGACGAACGUUUCUUAUGUGAAUAAUGUAGGGAAGUGACGGUACCCAAGGAGGAAGCCACGGCUAACUACGUGCCAGCAGCCGCGGUAAUACGUAGGUGGCAAGCGUUGUCCGGAAUUAUUGGGCGUAAAGCGCGCGUAGGUGGGAUAGUAAGUCUACUUUAAAAGUGCGGGGCUCAACCCCGUGAUGGGGUGGAAACUGCUAUUCUUGAGUGCAGGAGAGGAAAGCGGAAUUCCCAGUGUAGCGGUGAAAUGCGUAGAUAUUGGGAGGAACACCAGUGGCGAAGGCGGCUUUCUGGACUGUGUCUGACACUGAGGCGCGAAAGCUAGGGGAGCGAACGGGAUUAGAUACCCCGGUAGUCCUAGCCGUAAACGAUGGGUACUAGGUGUAGGGGGUAUCGACCCCCCCUGUGCCGGAGUUAACGCAAUAAGUACCCCGCCUGGGGAGUACGGCCGCAAGGUGAA
rnacentral:rRNA from 1 species